rnacentral:rRNA from 2 species
GAUGAACGCUGGCGGUAUGCUUAACACAUGCAAGUCGAACGGUGUCUUCGGACACAGUGGCGGACGGGUGAGUAACGCGUGAGAAUCUAGCUUUAGGUCUGGGACAACCACUGGAAACGGUGGCUAAUACCGGAUGUGCCCUUCGGGGUGAAAGAUUAAUUGCCUGAAGAUGAGCUCGCGUCUGAUUAGCUAGUUGGAAGUGUAAUGGACUCCCAAGGCGACGAUCAGUAGCUGGUCUGAGAGGACGAUCAGCCACACUGGGACUGAGACACGGCCCAGACUCCUACCGGGAGGCAGCAGUGGGGAAUUUUCCGCAAUGGGCGAAAGCCUGACGGAGCAAUACCGCGUGAGGGAGGAAGGCUCUUGGGUCGUAAACCUCUUUUCUCAGGGAAGAACACAAUGACGGUACCUGAGGAAUAAGCAUCGGCUAACUCCGUGCCAGCAGCCGCGGUAAUACGGAGGAUGCAAGCGUUAUCCGGAAUGAUUGGGCGUAAAGCGUCCGCAGGUGGCAAUGUAAGUCUGCUGUUAAAGAGUCUAGCUCAACUAGAUAAGAGCAGUGGAAACUACAUAGCUAGAGUACGUUCGGGGCAGAGGGAAUUCCUGGUGUAGCGGUGAAAUGCGUAGAGAUCAGGAAGAACACCAGUGGCGAAGGCGCUCUGCUAGGCCGUAACUGACACUGAGGGACGAAAGCUAGGGGAGCGAAUGGGAUUAGAUACCCCAGUAGUCCUAGCCGUAAACGAUGGAUACUAGGCGUGGCUUGUAUCGACCCGAGCCGUGCCGUAGCUAACGCGUUAAGUAUCCCGCCUGGGGAGUACGCCGGCAACGGUGAAACUCAAAGGAAUUGACGGGGGCCCGCACAAGCGGUGGAGUAUGUGGUUUAAUUCGAUGCAACGCGAAGAACCUUACCAAGGCUUGACAUGUCGCGAAUCCUGGUGAAAGCCGGGAGUGCCUUCGGGAGCGCGAACACAGGUGGUGCAUGGCUGUCGUCAGCUCGUGUCGUGAGAUGUUGGGUUAAGUCCCGCAACGAGCGCAACCCUCGUUUUUAGUUGCCAGCAUUAAGUUGGGCACUCUAGAGAGACUGCCGGUGACAAACCGGAGGAAGGUGGGGAUGACGUCAAGUCAGCAUGCCCCUUACGCCUUGGGCUACACACGUACUACAAUGCUCCGGACAGAGGGCAGCAAGCAUGCGAAUGCAAGCAAAUCCCGUAAACCGGAGCUCAGUUCAGAUCGCAGGCUGCAACUCGCCUGCGUGAAGGAGGAAUCGCUAGUAAUUGCAGGUCAGCAUACUGCAGUGAAUUCGUUCCCGGGCCUUGUACACACCGCCCGUCACACCAUGGAAGCUGGUAGUGCCCGAAGUCAUUACUCCAACMUUUCGGRGRGGAGGAUGCCUAAGGCAGGACUGGUGACUGGGGUGAAGUCGUAACAAGGUAGCCGUACCGGAAGGUGUGGCUGGAUCACCUCCUU